rnacentral:rRNA from 1 species
CGGCGGACGGGUGAGUAACACGUGGAUAACCUACCUAUAAGACUGGGAUAACUUCGGGAAACCGGAGCUAAUACCGGAUAAUAUAUUGAACCGCAUGGUUCAAUAGUGAAAGACGGUUUUGCUGUCACUUAUAGAUGGAUCCGCGCCGCAUUAGCUAGUUGGUAAGGUAACGGCUUACCAAGGUAACGAUGCGUAGCCGACCUGAGAGGGUGAUCGGCCACACUGGAACUGAGACACGGUCCAGACUCCUACGGGAGGCAGCAGGC